UGGGGGAUAUUGCACAAUGGGCGAAAGCCUGAUGCAGCGACGCCGCGUGGGGGAUGAAGGCUUUCGGGUUGUAAACCUCUUUCGCUAUCGAACAAGGCCCGCUUAGGGUGGGUUGAGGGUAGGUGGAGAAGAAGCGCCGGCUAACUACGUGCCAGCAGCCGCGGUAAUACGUAGGGCGCGAGCGUUGUCCGGAAUUAUUGGGCGUAAAGGGCUUGUAGGCGGCUUGUUGCGCCUGCUGUGAAAACGCGGGGCUUAACUUCGCGCGUGCAGUGGGUACGGGCAGGCUUGGGUGUGGUAGGGGUGACUGGAAUUCCAGGUGUAGCGGUGGAAUGCGCAGAUAUCUGGAGGAGCACCGAUGGCGAAGGCAGGUCACUGGGCCAUUACUGACGCUGAGGAGCGAAAGCAUGGGUAGCGAACAGG
rnacentral:rRNA from 1 species